AUGUCCAAGCGUACCCGAGACGUCGAGCUAGAUCGGCUGGUGCAUGACAAGCGGCCCGAUGGUGGGGACGCCUCCCCUCCGGGCUGCGGGGCACUAGAGCAGCUCCCCAAUGUCCCCAGCUACCGAGCCACUGCUGCCUCCCGAAUCCCUGUCCUUGUCGCCAGCAAGCCAAAGGCUGGAGUUGUCAACCCCAAUUUUUGCAAUGAGGAGCAAUCCCCCCUAGGUAUUAGAGAUGUUGAGAAAGAGGAGCUGGCUGAGGAUGGGGGACAAGUCAAGCCUAGUUGCUGUGUUUGCGCCCACAGGAGAAAGCUGCCGGCCCCGGAGGAUGGCCUGGAGGAGGGACUGGUGAACCAGUCCCCCACCCGAGCGCUGCUGGGCUGGGACGAGCAGCAGAGGGAAAGGUCCACGAGCCUGAGCAGUGCCGUCAUCAACAACCGGCUCCAGGAGCUGGUGAAGCUCUUCAAAGAGAGGACCGAGAAGGUGAAGGAGAAGCUGACCGACCCUGAUGUCACCUCGGACGACGAGAGCCCUACAGCAUCCCCUGCUAAGCCGGCACCCGCGGCAGCACCUGUGCCUCCCCCAGGAGGGGAGCCGGAGGGGGACAAGCUGGCAGGGGACGAGCACUACUGUGAGAUGCUGUGCUGUGUGUUCAAGCACCGGCCCUGGAUGGACCGUUUGAAAAACUACCGGUUCCCCAGCAGCAUCGACCCACUCACCAACCUGAUGUAUGUUCUGUGGCUGUUCUUCGUUGUGAUGGCCUGGAACUGGAACUGCUGGUUGAUCCCCGUCCGCUGGGCUUUUCCGUACCAGACACCAUCAAACAUCCACUGCUGGCUGGCUGUGGACUACCUCUGCGACCUCAUCUAUCUGCUGGACAUCCUUGUCUUUCAGACCCGGUUGCAGUUUGUCCAGGGGGGAGACAUAAUAACUGAUAAAAAGGCCAUGAAAGAGAACUACCUGCGAUCACAGCGCUUUAAGAUGGAUGUGGUGUGCCUCCUGCCCCUGGAUUUCUUCUACUUCAAAGUCGGUGUCAACCCGCUCCUGCGCUUUCCUCGCUGUCUGAAGUACAUGGCCUUCUUCGAGUUCAACAACCGCCUGGAGGCUAUCCUGAGCAAGGCGUACAUCUACAGAGUGAUUCGGACUACUGCCUAUUUACUGUACAGCUUGCAUGUGAACUCCUGCCUCUACUACUGGGCAUCAGCCUAUGAGGGACUGGGCUCUACCACCUGGGUCUACGAUGGGGAAGGAAACAGCUACAUCCGCUGCUACUACUGGGCAGUCAAAACCCUCAUCACCAUUGGGGGCCUGCCGGACCCCAAGACACUGUUUGAGAUCAUCUUCCAGCUGCUGAACUACUUCACGGGCGUCUUUGCUUUCUCCGUCAUGAUAGGGCAGAUGAGAGAUGUGGUUGGCGCGGCUACAGCAGGGCAAACUUACUAUCGGAGCUGCAUGGACAGUACCAUUAAAUACAUGAACUUCUACAAAAUUCCCAAAACUGUUCAGAACCGGGUGAAAACGUGGUAUGAGUACACGUGGCAUUCGCAAGGCAUGCUAGAUGAGUCAGAGUUGCUGGUGCAGCUGCCGGACAAGAUGAGGCUGGACAUUGCCAUCGACGUGAACUACAACAUCGUGAGCAAAGUGGCCCUCUUCCAGGGCUGCGACAGGCAGAUGAUCUUCGACAUGUUGAAGCGGCUCAGAUCAGUAGUCUACCUGCCUAAUGACUACGUGUGUAAGAAGGGAGAAAUCGGCCGUGAAAUGUACAUUAUCCAAGCGGGACAAGUGCAGGUGCUGGGAGGACCCGACGGCAAAACUGUGCUAGUGACUCUGAAAGCCGGAUCCGUGUUUGGAGAAAUAAGCUUGCUGGCGGCAGGAGGGGGGAAUCGCCGAACAGCAAACGUCGUAGCUCACGGCUUCGCUAACCUCUUCAUUUUGGAUAAGAAGGACUUGAAUGAGAUUUUGGUGCAUUAUCCAGAGUCUCAGAAGCUGCUGCGUAAGAAGGCCAAGAAAAUGCUGAAAAACAACAAUAAACCCAAAGAUGAAAAAGGAGCCCCUGGAGACUCCCUGAUCAUCCCUCCGAAAGCUGACACCCCAAAGCUCUUCCAGGCUGCCCUGGCCGCCACGGGGAGGAUGGGGGGCAAGGGGCCACUGGCCCAACUCCGGUGGAGGCUGAAGGAGCUGAAGGCGAUGCAGGCAAUGCAGGUCAGUGCAGGGAGGAUGGAUUCCACUUUCAGUCCAAUCCCACCGAAAUCACCAGUGCACCGGAGAUCACCUGUCACCUCCCACAAAGCAAGCACCCAUCUGGGAGAAGAAAUAUUCUCAAAAUCUUCUGAUAGUUUAGUCACCAUUCGUGUGAUUCCCACGGCACAAGAGGAUGAAGAAAUCCUUGCUGCUGAGAUUUCAGAGAAAGAAGACGAAAAAGAAGAGAAAUGA
ensembl:lncRNA